CAGAAGAGAAGGCUCAGGGGUGACCUGUGGCCUGCUACAAACAAAUCAGAAGGGACCAGCAGGCAUUGGGGGAGUCCCUGUUCCCCCGAGCACUACCAGGAGUGACCAGGAAUAACGGUC